CCAGAAUCUACUGAUUUUUUUUUUCAUUCAUUUAUGGACACGCUCAUACAUUCGUUCAUUCGAUUGUCCAUUUGUUCAUUUACUUAUCCAAUAAACAUCGACUAUGCACCUCCAAGCAGAUACUCUUCAAACACUAGGAAUACGAAGUGGGAAAUGCCUAGGCUUUUAAAAAGCUUACCCUGGAAAGAAGCCAGAAACUCAGUGGCUGAUAACAAAAAGCAAAUAAUUAAUACUACUACUAAUAAUAACUGAUAUGAUUCACUCAUAGCAGGUCCCAGAAAUCAAGGAAAAAAGCUAAGGGAAAAAGGGCUUAUCUUAGAAGACAUCCAGGAGGGGUGUCAGAUCUGAGCCUCUGGAUGAGGGGGCUCUCUUAGAUGCUUUCUCACAUGUCUUUGGCUCUGCUUGGGGCCUGUCUUCUUGGGCCUUCAUCUUUUAGAUGCUCUACCCACUCCAACAUUUGUCUCAAAGGGCCUCUCCACCUUUCUGAACUUUGGUCUUCCCAUCGGUCAAAAAAAGAGUUGUCUGCACUGCUGGUCUCAAGUGGUAUCCUCACCCUGCUCUGAUUCACUGUGUCAAAGGCUGUGAGCCCUUCAUGGGAGACAAUUAUUGUGAUGCCAUCAACAACCGAGCCUUUUGCAACUAUGACGGUGGGGAUUGCUGCACCUCCACAGUGAAGACCAAAAAGGUCACCCCAUUCCCUAUGUCCUGUGACCUACAAGGUGACUGUGCUUGUCGGGACCCCCAGGCCCAAGAACACAGCCGGAAAGACCUCCGGGGAUACAGCCAUGGCUAA
rnacentral:sRNA from 1 species